GCGAACGCUGGCGGCAGGCUUAACACAUGCAAGUCGAGCGGGCCCUUCGGGGUCAGCGGCAGACGGGUGAGUAACACGUGGGAACGUACCCUUUGGUUCGGAAUAACGCUGGGAAACUAGCGCUAAUACCGGAUACGCCCUUUUGGGGAAAGGCUUGCUGCCGAAGGAUCGGCCCGCGUCUGAUUAGCUAGUUGGUGGGGUAAUGGCCUACCAAGGCGACGAUCAGUAGCUGGUCUGAGAGGAUGAUCAGCCACACUGGGACUGAGACACGGCCCAGACUCCUACGGGAGGCAGCAGUGAGGAAUAUUGGACAAGGGGCGCAAGCCUGAUCCAGCCAUGCCGCGGGAGUGAUGAAGGCCUUAGGGUUGUAAAGCUCUUUUGUCCGGGACGAUAAUGACGGUACCGGAAGAAUAAGCCCCGGCUAACUUCGUG
rnacentral:rRNA from 1 species